AUUAGGUCAGUGUAAGUUAAAGAAGGGCUGAGAGAUGAAUAAAGUAGAUUUUCUCCUCUGGAACACACUGCAGUUUAAUUUCACUUCUUUCUACAUUGUGUGAUGAAGGUGGAUUUAACUUUUAAAGGCAAAGAGACAAACCUCUGCCAGGAUAAAUGAAAAGACUCAGAGAGGGCAACUGACACACCACAUAAAAGAAAGGAAAUGCUUUCUGGCUGUUUCCUAAUUUUGAUAUCCGGGUCAUCGUCAGAAAUAAUUUCCAGAGGUAAAGUGCUAUGUGUAUUAUAUAAGGGGAUGGGGGGGGAGUGCCUUCUGAAGCCUAAAGGGGCAUGCUUGCUGGGUGACGAUGUUAAAAAUUUUCCCUCCUGGUGGCAUGAUAUAAAAUAAAGCCAUUUUAUCCUUGAAGCUGUUUUUUUUUUCCCCCUAAUUUUGCCAGCAGCCAGAAAUGUGUUAAUCUGAGGGGAAAACUCCACACCCCAACACAGGUUUCCCUUUCCUGCCAAAUGAGUCACUUAGAAGGGAAGUGGUCCUGAAGGUGAAAGUUGAAACUGCUCAUUCUCUUGAAUGUUGGGGGCUCUGGGAAGGACAGGAAAACCUCAAAAAUGGGAAUGCAGCUAGGAGAGCUGAGCACCACAGUCCAUCCUGGGCCACAGUUGUGCAGCUUCAUUAUUAAAAAGCAUAGAGAACCACUAUGGUCACUUAUGUAAGAAACAGUGCGACAGGAGAGGACAAUCACAGGAAAAUCUAUCCUCAGUUGCUGAUCAUGGCCUUUAAUGUGCAAGGAUCAGAUUUUUUUUUUUUAAGAAAGUAUGGGGAAAUUAGUUAUAAGAAUACACAUGCUAUAAAUAGUAAUGUUGCCCCAUUCUAAAUUCUCUAAAGGUUAAGAGCAUCCAGCUAAUUUGGAUUUUGUUUCUUUAAAUUACAGAUCAUGUCACAGGUAAUGCCAAACUCAGAGAGAGGAGGGGAAGUUGGCAGCAGGAUAAAAUAAGUCUAUGCUGCUAUGGUGGUAAGUGAGAAAAUAGGCUGAAUGCACAAACAGGUGGCUCAAAUAUUAGGAAAUUUUUCAAAUAACUUGUGGAUUUUUUGAAAAAUGCUUAGCACUGGGAUUGAGAGUCCCUUCUGACACCUCUUCAGUGUUCUCAGCAUUGCCCAGUUGCUAAUGUCUCUGUGUUACCCCCAAAUUUAUUCAAACAUAUUGAAACUGGAAAUCCACCUGGUUAACGACACCUCCUGUUUGUGCAGGCUGUUUUCCAUCUGUAGCCACAGAUGAUGAGAUACAGACUUUGUGUGCAAUUCAGUGUUCUUGUGUUUGCCUCCGGAAUCGUAGACAAUCGCAUCAAAGCUAUGUGCAAACAUGGUCCAUGCCUAAAUUCUCCUUUCUUAAAAUGGUGUUCUCCGUGUCUCUCAAUAUUCCGAGGAAAAAAUAAAGAGUUGUAGAGAACAGAGAGUAAGAAGGCCAGGAAUAAAAACUCAUGAAAUAGAGACUCUUGAAAUCUUGUUUCAAGGGCACAUGAGUGUUCUGUAGCUUCUCAUUCCAGUUGUACUAACAGUUCCCUUUGUUGACAGACACUAGUCAGAUAGGGCACAACCAGAUACCGUACUUUUGAUGGAAUGAGAAACAGAAAAGACAAUCAAUGAAUUGUAAUUUAUAAAGACAGAGGACUGAUCCCUGAUGUAUAUCUCAGAAACCAGGAUACUUUAUCCUGGUUUGGAAUUUGGAAACAAAUGACUGAAAAACAUUUUGUCAGUUAAUCAAAAUUUGUUGAAAGGACAGGGUGUGCCUGAAAAAUUACACACUCACAUACAUGUACAAACACACCCAUACAAGGGAUGGAUCUUAAUUGAAAUUUUUAUUAGAAAUCCUCAUUUAUUUGCUUAAAAUUUGUAAACUCCACUCUUGUUUGUUUUAGACUAUAACUUCCAAAUGAAUUUUAAAAAGCAAAUAUUUUUUGAAAUGUGAAAUGAUUGAAUCAUUUUGAAGCAAAAGCCAUAACUUCACCAAGUCUGUUAAUCUGAUAUUUGAAGCAGUAAGGUUGCAGCAUAGACAAGAACACUCUUUUGUAAUUUGAGUACCGUUAGGCCCAGCAGACUUAGUGGAAUUUCAUUCUUAACUAAAUAUUUUAUGAUCUUUAAGGAUUUAGUCAUUAUUAUAUCUACUGGAUAUUCCAUGAAAGGUAGCUAAAAUACUAAGGUUGUCUAAAAGAAAAGUUCUUCCCUAAGAAUAUUUCAAGUAUGUAGCCUGUUUUUCUUUAAAUGCCUAACAUGAGUCCAAUUACACUGACCAAGUCAGAGAAGGACUCAGGACCCCCAGCUGGGCUUUGGUCUGCACCCACCAUUACUCUCUCAUCUGUGUUCCUGUGGAUCUUCCCACAUGCCCUAUGCUGUUAUCCCACUGCAUUUAGUUAUUUAUUUCCACGUCCAUGAGACUGUGAGACUGCGAAUGAAUUAUAACUCUAUUUUAAAUUUGCCAGCUUGCAUUUGAGAUAUGUUGGACUAAUGAAUCGAUAACUAUCUAUGACAUGAAAAGCACUGUUCAAAAUCUCUAGUCUCUACCACCAUAGAAUUUUUCGUCUUGUAUUUUGUUAGGAUGAUGUAAUUUUCGUAUUCACCAUCACAUAUUCCAUGUUGAUUAUUUUGCUUUAUGCGUAGAUAUCUUCAGUUUAUGUAUCUGUUUAUACCUCUUUAGUGAUGGAUGUGAAAUCUGAGUGUACAAGUAUGAGCACUUCUUGGUCUCCGUGUAUGUCUUUGAAGGAAGGAGUUGAUUUUUUCAUGCAAUAAAUAGUUGUAAAUCAGUACUCUUGUUCAUAGAGGAAAAUAACCCUACAUUUAUUUUUUUUUACUCAUGAGAAUUCCAAAAAUAUGUAUAAAAGGAUCAAUUUUGGUAAGUCAUAUAAAUAUGAUACUUAGUAGGUAUUCAUUAUAGAGAAGUAUGUAAUUCAGUUUUUUAAAAAAGGUUUUUAUUUCCAAUAACUCCUUUUAUUCAAGCAAUAAUUAAAAAUAUUGCAGUGUUGGGGAUUAAACCCAGGGCCUUAUGUGUUCACACCCCUAAACCAUAAGCAAUAAUUUUGAAGGCAAUAAUUUAUGGCCCAAAUAUAAUCUUUAUUAUAACAAUACAAUUAGAUGUGCACAUCAAUUAAUUACAAUGGUUACCUUGUAUUAUUUACUAAUAGAAGAUGAUAUGAUAUUCAUGACUGACUUAAAUUACAAAGUAUUUUCUUCUCUAGAAACAAAAUUAUUGAAUAAAGCUUUGUUAGGCUGUGGAGUAUUUUUGUACUCAUAACCACACAUAUACUUUAGCUAUUUACAAAUAAUUGUGUUAUAUAUACUUUAGCUAAUUACUAAUAAUUGUAUAUAAUUUAAGUAUUAUGUAUAUGAUUCAUUGCAGUGAGACUCAUUUCAGUGACUCUUCUAUGCAAAAUUUUUACUAAUGUACAACACACAAACUAAGGUACACAGAAAUUGAAGGUGUAGUUUGAUAAGUUAACAUAACUGAGCAUGACUGGAAAUCAGCAUUCAGUCAAGAAACAAAAUCACCCUCCAUGUCACUGCCAUGUUCCUUUCCAAUUAUUAUUUACCAACUCAGUGGUAACCAUUGUCUUGACUUCUAAAUAUAGAUAACAUACAUAUUGCAUCUGGUUUUCAGUUUUAUAUAAUUGUGAUCAUGUAUCAUGUACUCUUUGGAUUUCAUUCAUUUUACUUAGUAUUUUUGUGUGUCGGUGUCUGAGAUUCAUUUAGGAUCUUGUUUAUAAGUACAGUUUGUUAAUUUCUAAUAGUUUAUCAUGUUUCAUUGAAUGACUAUAAUUACAUGCUUUGCUAACAUUCCAUUUUGCUAAUAUUAAAGACUGUUAUGAAUUUUUUUUUAAUUUUUUAUUGUUGGCUGUUCAAAACAUUACAUAGUUCUUGAUAUNUGCUGCUAUGAACAUCGAUGUAGCAGUGUCCCUGUAGCAUGCUCUUUUUAGGUCUUUAGGGAAUAGACCGAGAAGGGGAAUAGCUGGGUCAAAUGGUGGCUCCAUUCCCAGCUUUCCUCACAUGUAGGAAGCUGGUAUAUGGAAAUGCUAGGUAGCAUGCAUAUUUUACAGUUUUUGAUAUACCAAGGAGGAAUUUAUAAUGGCUAGAUAAAUAUAAACUUUUAUUCUCCAUAAUGUUGUAUGAAUAUAAAAAUUGACCUAUGUCCUUUUCAACAUCUCAGUCAUUUUUCAUUUUAAACAUUCUGGUUUUAUCUUUCUUUCUGUAAAUAAUGAACAGACCGAAGAACUGUUUGAGACAGUACAGAUGGUAGAAGCAGUCCGUUCACUCAAAACAUUCCUUGUGCUUUAUCAAUUGUUGGUCAAAAACAUUUCACUUAAUCUUUAGGAUAUCAUAGUGACAAUAAAAGCAAGAGCAAGUUGUUCUUCAUGUAAGAAAUCAGAAAAAUCUGCAAAUUAAAAAGGCAGCAUUUGACCUUGUCACUGAAUAAACAAAUAUCAAAUUUCAAGACCAAAUGAACAAUUCCCCUGGUAUUAAAAUAAUCACAACUAAAGGAGAAGCAAGUUGUAGCAUAGACUCCAAAAAAAUGUUGAUUAUGCCUCUACCAUUUGUGUUAAAUUAGGCCUCAAGAGUGAAGUCACUCUGAGGCAUGAGGGACAGUUUCCAAACAUGAAACAAUUUUUUUUUUCCCCAAGAGAUUCUGGGAGAGUUAGAAUUUAACCUGAUGAUUUCAUAGCCUGUGGAUAGUGUCCAAAUACAAAUGUGUCUCAUUUAUAACUAGUUAAAUAAAAUAAUAGUUUCCUUACAUAAGUAUAUAUUAAAAUUCUUUCUUCAACUUGUUAAAAGGCCACAAUUGAAAUUCUAACACUACAAUUGAAUCAAUUUCCAUAAUUUUCUUGUGUGAUUGAUGAAUUUUAUUUGAUGUGUUUCCUAUAGAUGCUUAUAUAGUAAAAAUGUAAUAUUUAUAAAGUCAUUCUGCAUGUGAAAAAGGUCUUCAGAUAUUUAUUGGUGAAGAAGUUACAGUAAUCAUGAAUGAAAUAAAUCACAAAAGAUCACCUCUUUUAUAAGCAUAAAUAUUUGAUAUGAUUAUGAUUAUUAAGGAUUUUAGAGCAAAAUUCUUAUAUAUAUUGGGAGAACUUUUGGCAACUUUUAUGGAAAUUAUUCAAACUACUUCCUCUAAAUUGCUUUAUCGUAUAUUGUAGAGAUUUGAUCAAAGUCUAAUGUUUAAGUCACUAAGUGACAAAAGACUACAUUCCAUAAAUUAAUCAAUAUUCAUUCAAAAUUUACUAUGUUAACGUUAUUGUGCAAAGCCUUGUUUGUGUGAAGGAUACAUUUUGCUGGGGAAAUAGUGUGAAAAAUCUGUGCUUUACCAGAAAUUGGCCUUUUAUAUAUUUUUUAUAUAUUUGGCCUUUUACAUAUUAAGUGUCAGUUUAUGUUGCUCUCAUAAGAAUUGUAAGUCACUUCACCAGACUCAAAGUAUAUGAAUAUGUCAAUAAAUAUUUUUUGUACUCAAUUAUUUUGUAUAUUUUAAAGAUUUAAAAUUAUAGAAAUGAUUCAUAGAAAUACAAUGAAUGCUUAGAAAACUGUUCUAUAUAGCUCUAAAGAGAAGGUGUUAUUCAUUUUUGGCAAUAAUUUUAGAAAAGUUGCAAAUAGCAGGAAGUAUUUUAUUAGCACUUCAAUCAAGAAAUGAAUGUCAAGUGCUCAAGGUAGGACAUAGUGACCCUGGUUACUCCUUAUAGCUCCAUCUAAACCCAACAUUUAAUAUCACUUUAAAUAUUAAUGCCUUCCAAAAAUAAAUUUAUAAAAUAAAACAAUUUCCAAGUAAAAGGGAUGAUUUAUUUCACAUCUUUAAAAUAAAAGAGGAGAAUUUAGAUAAUUGUCUCAUAUUUCUGCCCGUGUUUUCUCAAAUAACAUGAGCAAUAUUGGAGACAUAACUUCUCAUUGCUCAGAAAGUUAACACUUUAAUGGACAUUAUGUCUGACUAAACAUACACAGACUAUUUUUAAGAGUAAGAAAGUUAUUUGCUCUACAAAUUCUCAUGAUACAAAUGAUUAACAGAUAUUGUGUGUGAGUGUGUAAGAUAGACGUCAUGAUGGUUUGGAUAUGAGGUGUCUCCACAAAAAGUUCAUGUGUGAGACAAUGGAGGAUUGUUCAUAAGUGAAAUGAUCAGAUUAUGAAAGCUGAAACCAAAUCAGUGGAUUAAUCCAUUUGAUGGAUUAAUCAUUUGAAAGGACUCUUGUGCUGGCUGGCAAGUAUAGGAAAGUACCGGGUGGUUGGAGGAGUAGGUCACCGGGGGCAUGUCUUUGGGUUUAUAUUUUGUCUUUACUGACUUCUUUCUCUUUCUCUCUCUGAUUCCCAACUGCCAUGAGCUGAGCAACUCCUUGCCCUUCUACCAUGAUGUUCUGCAUCUAAUUUAGCCCUGAGUGAUGGAGUCUGCUGGCUCUGGAUUGAGACUUCUGAAACAAUGACCCCAACUUAACUUUUCCUCUUCUAAGUUGUUUUUGUCAGGUAUUUUGAUCAGAAUGAUCAAAAACUGACUAAUACAAAAAGUUAGAGUAUAAAGACAAGGGCCUAAAGAAAUCAAUGUUUUUUGGGUCUUCUAAAUAUAAAGUCAUCUCAUUGGCAAAUAAUGAUAGUUUGGCUUCUUUUUGUAUUUGUAUCUUUAAUUUUUUUCUUUUGUCUAAUUGCUCUGGCAAGAGUUUCAAGUAUGAUGUUGAAUAAAAGUGGUGAUAGAGGGAAUCCUUGUCUUAUUCCAGUUUUUAGAGAGAAUUCUUUCAAUUCUUCUCCUUUUAGGAUGACAUUGGCCUUGGGUUUAUCAUAGAUCGCUUUUAAAAUGUUGAGGUAUGGUUCUACUCUCCCUAGUUUUUCUAGUAUUUUGAACAAGAAGGGGUGCUAUAUUUUGCCAAAUGCUUUUUCUUCAUCUAUUGAGAUGAUCAUGUGAUUCUUACCUGUAAGUCUGAUGAUGUGAUGAAUUACAUUUAUUGAUUUUCGUAUCUUGAAGCAAACUUGUGUCCUGGGAUGAACCCAACUUGAUCAUGCUACAGUGGUAUGCAAAUUUGCCACAAUUUUAUUGAGAAAUUUUUCAUGUGUGUUCAUCAGGGAUAUUGAUCUGAAGUUUUCUCUCCUUGAUAUGUCGUUUUCUGACUUUGGUAUCAGGGUGAUAUUGGCCUCAUACAAUAAGUUUGGAAGGGUUCCCUCCUUUUUUAUUUCAUGGAAUAAUUUGAGGAGUAUUGAUGUUAUUAAUUCUUUGAAGGCCUAAUAGAACUCCGUUGAGAAUCUGGUCCUGGGCUUUUCUUUGUUGGUAGGUUUUUGAUGUUGUCUUCUCUGUCAUUGCUUGAAGUUGAUCUGUUUAAAUUUUGUUUGUCCUCCUGAUUUAAUUUGGGUAGGUCAUAUGUCUCUAGAAACUUUUCCAUGUCUUCAAGAUUUUUAUUUUAUUGGAGUAAAAAUUUUUAAAAUAGUUUCUGAUUAUCAUCUGUAUUUCAGUAGUGUCUAUUGUGAUAUUUCCUUUUUCAUAAUGAAUUUUAAUCAUUUGAGUUUUCUCUUUCUCUGUGUUAGUGUGGCUAAGGUUUAUCCAUUUUAUUUAUUUUUUCAAGAACCAACUUUUUGGGUUUUUUUGAAUUUUUGGAAUUUUUUUUGUUUCAAUUUCAUUGAUUUCAUCUCUGAUUUUAAUUGUUUCUUGCAUUCUACUGAUUUUGGUGUUGACUUCUUAUUUUUCUAGGGCUUUGAGAUGCAAUAUUAGUUUAACUCUACCAGAAAACUUCUAGAACUCACAAAUAAAUUUAUCGAAGUAGCAGGAUAUAAAAUAAUACCCAUAAGUCAAUUGUGUUCCUAUAUGUCAGUGAUGAAUAUACUAAAAGAGAAAUCAGGAAAACUACACCAUUCAUAAUAGCCUCAAAAAUAUAUAUUUGGGAAUCAAUUAACAAAUGAGAUGAAAGACCUCUACAAUUAAAACUACAGAACACUAAAGAAAGAAUUGAAGAAGACCUUAGAAGUUGGAAAGAUCCCCCAUAUUCUAGGACAGGCAGAAUUAAUAUUGUCAAAUGGCAAUAGUACUAAAAGCACUAUACAGUCUUAUUGAGAAAGUCUGUUCUUGAGCCAAUAUGAUGGAGAGUUAGGCCUACUUUUUCUUCUAGUAGUCACAGAGUCUCUGGUCUAAUGUCAGGGUCUUUGAACCACUUUGUUUUGUGUAUGGUGAGAUAUAGGGGUUCUAUCUACUGCAUAUGGAUUUCUAUCAUUUGUUGACAAGGCUAUCAUUUCUCCAAAGUUUGUUUAUGGGCCUUUGGUUAGUAUGAGACAAUUCUAUUUAUGUGGGUAUGCCUCUAUGUCUUCUAUUCUGUUCUACUGCUCUUCAAUUCUAUUUUUGUGACAAUAUCAUGCUGUUUUUUUGUAGAUGAAUACGAUACCUUUAUUUUAUUUAUUUAUUUUUAUGUGAUGCUGAGGAUUGAGCCCAGUGCCUCACAUGUUCUAGGCAAGUACUCUACCACUGAGGUACAACUCCAGCCCAAUACCAUGCUGUUUUUGUUAUAUAGCUCUGUAGUAUAAUUUAAGGUCUGGUAUCAUGAUACCCCCUGCUUCACACUUCUUGAUAAAGAUUGCUUUGGCUAUUCUGGGCCUCUAAUUUUUCCAAAUAAAAUUUAUGACCACUUUUUCUAUUUCUAUGAAGAAUGUCAUUGAAAUUUUAAUGAAAACUGUAUUAAAUCUGUAUAGUACUUUGGAUUGUAUGGCCAUUUUAACAAUAUUUAUUCUGCCUAUCCAAGAACAUCUUUGCAUUUUCUAAGGUCUUCUUCAGUUUUUUUCUUUAGUGUUCUGUAGUUUUCAAAUGACCUAAUCAAUAAAUGCACAAAGAGACUAUAAAUGGGUAAUUUAUAGAAGAAGAAACAGAAAUGGUCAACAAAGUAUGCAAAAAAAAUUGUUCAGUAUCUCUAUUAAUUAAGGAAAUGCAAGUGAAAACUACACUUAAAUUCCAUCUUACUCCAAUAAGAAUAGCAAUUAUCAAGAUUUACAAGCAACAAAGAAUUUUGGUGAGAAUGUGCAUAAAAAGGCACACUCAUACAUAGUUGUAGGAACUGCAAAGUGGUGCAACUACUCUGGAAAGCAGUAUGGAGACUCCUUAGAAAACUUAGAAUGGAACCAUGCUUUAACCCAGUUAUCCUACCUCUGCUUAAACCCAAAGGUCUUAAAAUCAUCAUACUACAGUGACGUGGCCUCAUCAAUGUUAAUAGCAGCUCAAUUUAUGAUAGGUAAACUAUGGAACCAGCCUCGGUGCUCUUCAACAGAUGAUGAAUAAAGAAGAUGUGGUACACAAUGGAAUACUAUUCAGCCAUAAAAAAGCAAUAAAAUUAUGGGAUUUUCUGGUAAGUGGAUGGAACUCGAGACUAUCAUGCAAUGUGAAAUAAGCCAGUCCCCCCCCAAAAAAAACAAAGGCAAAAUGUUCUUUCUGAAAUGCUAAGUAACAAUAAGGGGGUGUUUGGUCAGGGAAGAAUAGAAGUACUUUGGAUUAGACAAAGGGGAAUGAAGGGAAGGGAGAUGGGAUGAGAAUAGGAAAGAUAAUAGAGUGAAUUGUAUAUUACUUUUGUAUAUGCCUAUAUGAUUACACUACCAAUGUAAUUCUACAUCAUGUACAACCAGAACAAUGAGAAGUUAUACUUCACAUAUGUAUAAUAUGUCAAAAUACAUUGUACUGUCAUGUAUUGCUAAUAAGAACAACAAUAACAAAAUGCUUUCUGAAAGAACCAUUGCAAAACUUUGAAAAUUAUCAACUCUUUUAUCCAAACAUCAAAUGUACAUUAUAUGAUUUUAUUAUUCAUUGCCUUUCAUCUAUAUAUUCUUUAAUUUUUAAAGCUAAGGGAUUUAUAUCAGAAAUUACUCAUUGAAGGAACCCAUUAUUCACAAUUGAAAUUUCAGGAAUUUUUUUCCUCCUAAUUUAAUGAAAUAUUGUCACUCUAAAAAAUGUCUUUUAUGCAGGUUUCAGUAUUCCCUGAAGACUAGGAAAAGCUUUAGAAGACAAACAUCAAAUGAAAUCUGAUCUGCAGGCAAUCAGAAUCUUGUCUUGCUCUUCAUGUUGAUAUAGUCAGAAGAAUUAGUAAAGAAUCAAGACAUCAUUUUACAACAAAGAAUUUUAUUAUGAAUGCAACUUUAUUAUAUGUUGGUUUAUUAGCCUAAUUUUAAAUUAUCAAUGACAUUUUUCUUUCAUAUCUUUGAGCAUUUUCUUUCUUUUUUUGUCAUCUUUAGAUCUAAGGCAAUUCUCCCUGGUUUUCUUUUCCUCCCUUGUUAAUGGUAAAUUGCUACAUUGGCGAUAUCUGUCAUUGACAAGAAAAUGAAUCACUAUAUCCAACUUAUUUUUGUUCUUCCAGAUUGGCUAAAAACACAAAUUCAAGAGAUUAAUCCUAUUUAUUCAGUUAAGUCUUCACUUUCUCAUUUGCAUUGUUAUAAAAUGUACUUUUACUUAAGUUUAUGCCAUGGGGUUAUAGAAACAAAGAGCCAUAAGAUGAUAUGACAUAACAUCAUAAAGAAUAAAUUACAUUAGAAAAACAUGGAAAAUAAUAUGA
rnacentral:lncRNA from 1 species